rnacentral:rRNA from 1 species
UACGUAGGGUGCAAGCGUUAAUCGGAAUUACUGGGCGUAAAGCGUGCGCAGGCGGUUGUGCAAGACCGAUGUGAAAUCCCCGGGCUUAACCUGGGAAUUGCAUUUGUGACUGUACGGCUAGAGUGUGUCAGAGGGGGGUAAAAUUCCACGUGUAGCAGUGAAAUGCGUAGAGAUGUGGAGGAAUACCGAUGGCGAAGGCAGCCCCCUGGGAUAACACUGACGCUCAUGCACGAAAGCGUGGGGAGCAAACAGG